rnacentral:rRNA from 1 species
CGGACCUUGUACACACCGCCCGUCAAACCAUGAGAGCUGUUUGUACCCGAAGCUAUUUAGCUAACCCGUUAAGGGGUGCGAAUAACUAAGGUAUGAGGAGUGAGUUGGGGUU